UGCUUCAGACAGAGAGUCAACUACUUUAUUUUACACAACCUUCAGAAGCAGGUUCAACUUGGGAAAUGAAUUUUCACUGAAGAGGAUGUGAGGUGCUCACACUACUUUUUCUGGGGAUUCAUUUGCAAUAGGGCUUAUCUCCAGCAGAGGUGUGGCUAUUUUUUGCAAGGAUUUUUGACCAUGGUCUUAUUGGCAGCAUCUGUCUUAGACUAUAGUAUCAGAAGCCCAAUUAACAGAGAGAGCUGUCAGCUGGAACUAAGUAACACCAGCAAGAUCCCCGGAUGGAUGAAGCCCAAGCUGAUUUACUACAGCUAGGCAGAAUCUGUGGGAUAACAUAGCCAGUUCACGGACAAACAGGGGUCAGAAACAUACCUGUUUACAGGAUCAGUGGGAGCACCUGAGAUUCUCCAGAGUCAUAUCUUGCUAUAACAGAGUUUUGGCAGGGAGCAGGAGAAGGCUUAACUCCCAGGAGCAGAGGAGAAGCAGCAGUCUGGAAGCUAGGCAGGAAAGUGAAAAAGGAGGCCUGGGGAUGACAGCAAGCCUCUCCGGCAGAGGUCUCCGCUACUUACUGCGAAAUCCAGGCAGCCACAAAAUCAGCGAAAUGCUUAGGAAUGCUUCUGUUUGCAUCACUCCAGGCUGCCUAAUCCUGAAAGGACAAUCUUGUACCUACCCAUGAGGAUCUGACCAAGAAGGACUCAUCUCAGCAGUGAAUCUCUCUAUCUCUCUGAAGCGCUCCACCUUGUUCAAAUAAAUAACGGCAGUAGUAGCAGAGAUUGAGUCUAUAGCCCAACAUAAAAACAUUCAUCCACUGACAAAUAUAAAGAGAAGAGAAAGACCAGGUCCUGAGAAAGAAUUGCAGGCUGGCUCCGAGCCAUCAGUGCUUUUCUAUAUUGGGAAAAGGCAACAGAUCCUAGAAUGCAUCCAGCAAGAAUCACACAGAAUCACAGAAUGGCCAAGGCUGGAGAUCAUCUAGUCCAACCCACCUGCUCAAGCAAAAUUUCUUUUCCAAGGAUCAAAUCUAAUUAUAAAAAGCAUGAUAAAAGUCUUCAGAACUCAUAGAGAGGUAUACUUUCUGACUUCUCUGUCUCUCUUCAUUUGUAUUUCUGGCUUUUGUCUCCUUAUAAAUUUACUGCCAAUCGUCAGCCUUUUGCCAGAAGGUGAGGUGAAAGUGAUGAAGGAAUUCUACCAGUGCUUAAGCAGAAACCCGUAGAACCAUUGAGUGCUGUCUUGAUGUAGUAAUUAAAUAUCAGUGUCUGGUGAGCUGCAAAAUGCUGCAACCCCAUUAGAAUAUGGAGAAAGAAGAAAAUCCUGUUCUUAGUAUACAUCCAGGGAUGUACAGGGAUACUGGAUGCUCUCUUUGAGGGCCAGUUCCUUGAGUCAUGAAAAUUUCAGCCUUAAUUUUUAAAAGUAUAUCUAGUGUUCAUAUGAAAUAAAUAAUUCUUUCUCCUCAAUGUUUUACUAGGUAUUAGGUAUUAAAUUAAACUUAUACUGAAUGGGAUUUUUUUAAUAUAGUGCCACUAUCUGUUAACAGAUACUUUAUUCUAGAAAUCACGCAGGCACAACACUGCACUUUUGCAGCACCGACUUGCCUUAAUCACAAUCACAUAAUUAUUGCAUGAAAUCUCUUUAUGGAAGCUGUGAUGUUAUCUGACUAUCCAAUAAUGCAUUUCUGUCAUGUUGGAACAGUAGCAUGCCUAAAUAAUGUUGACAUUUAAUCUUCAUUCUUAAGGCCUUGAUUUUGCAAUAGUAUGUUUCAUUUCUGCA